ACGCACGCUGGCGGCGUGCUUAACACAUGCAAGUCGAACGGAAAGGCCCUGCUUGCAGGGUCCUCGAGUGGCGAACGGGUGAGUAACACGUGGGUGAUCUGCCCUGCACUUCGGGAUAAGCCUGGGAAACUGGGUCUAAUACCGGAUAGGAGCCAUUUUUAGUGUGAUGGUUGGAAAGUUUUUUCGGUGUAGGAUGAGCUCGCGGCCUAUCAGCUUGUUGGUGGGGUAAUGGCCUACCAAGGCGGCGACGGGUAGCCGGCCUGAGAGGGUGGACGGCCACAUUGGGACUGAGAUACGGCCCAGACUCCUACGGGAGGCAGCAGUGGGGAAUAUUGCACAAUGGGCGCAAGCCUGAUGCAGCGACGCCGCGGGGGGGAUGACGGCCUUCGGGUUGUAAACUCCUUUCGCUAGGGACGAAGCUUUUUGUGACGGUACCUAGAGAAGAAGCACCGGCUAACUACGUG
rnacentral:rRNA from 1 species